rnacentral:lncRNA from 1 species
CGGACCCACAUGCACAGCUCCAGACAUGGAGUUCGUUUAAUGGUUUUAGGCAAGAUCCAGUAAACAGGCGAAGGUUCAUACACAGGGACGCUCAGACUCAGGUAAGUUGCAGGCAGGUUGGGCAGCAGGUGGGCCCAGCAAAAGUGCUCAGUGCACUUGUUUCUGAUCAAGUUCAGGUGUAAAGGUUUAAUUUAAAGGAGUCAUAUCAUACUUUUCAUUCUAAAAAAUAUUAGACUUUAAUGUCUCAGUAAGGUCUCUAUAAUUUUCAUCCCAUAAAACCCUUUAGAUCGUCCACACUGCCCCUGUCAAUAUGUGGUUCUCACUCCCCAUCAGCAAACGCUGUGUUUUCUGGGCGUGUCGCAAGCGAAGCUGCUCACCACACCUCUGUGCGGAAGCGCAUACCUUUUUUGUUGUUGUUGUUGUUUUUUAAAUUGGCUCCAUGGAUACGAGCUACCGCACGGUUACGAUACAAUAGGUGGCAGUAGUGCGACAUUGAGAAUGCAAUCCACCGCAAUCCUCCACAGAAGAAGAAGACCCACUACAGAACUGCACGACAUUAGUCAGCUGGUUCGUAGCGUAGUAGAACCAUACGUCUACGAUCCCGAAUCUGACCCUGAAGCUGAAGAGGAGGCUGUUGAAGUCGCCACAUUUCGGCUGAUGCAAGAUGUGUCUCAUUGUUGUUACAGGUAUCUAGUCUACAGAGGCUAGUGAGCUGGUGCUGAGGAUUCCUGGGGUGAAGAAUCUGAGUUGCCAUCUCUUCAUGCUUGGGUUGUAGAUGAAGGCAGUUUCCUGAUGGAUAAAACACUAAAACACUCAUAGUAUGAUUGAUGUAGACCACCUGUAGAAUAACUCCUUUACCAUUUGAGUAAAAAUGUGUUUUUUUUUUGAGUGCAACACUCUAAGAAUUUUUUAAAUUUUAUUUAUAUAUAAUUUAUAUGCUUUUUAUUUAUGGCCGCUUCAACUUUAUAGCUUACCAUAUUAGAAAGAGAAAAACAUGUAAUUUUAAUACUAUGAUUUCCUAAAUAAAAGUGUUUUCCCUUCAGAAACA